rnacentral:rRNA from 1 species
CCUACGGGAGGCAACAGGGAGGAAUAUUGGGCAAUGGCCGAGAGGCUGAACCAGCCAAGUCGCGGGAGGGAAGACGGCCCUACGGGUUGUAAACCUCUUUUGUCGGGGAGCAAAGCGAGUCACGUGUGACUCAUUGAGAGUACCCGAAGAAAAAGCAUCGGCUAACUCCGUGCCAGCAGCCGCGGUAAUACGGAGGAUGCGAGCGUUAUCCGGAUUUAUUGGGUUUAAAGGGUGCGCAGGCGGAGGUGCAAGUCAGCGGUCAAAUGGCGGGGCUCAACCCCGUACUGCCGUUGAAACUGCAUCGCUUGAGUGCGCGAGAAGUAUGCGGAAUGCGUGGUGUAGCGGUGAAAUGCAUAGAUAUCACGCAGAACACCGAUUGCGAAGGCAGCAUACGGGCGCGCAACUGACGCUCAUGCACGAAAGCGUGGGUAUCGAACAGGAUUAGAUACCCGUGUAGUC